UCCGCGGUACUCUUGCCUGGAGGCUGCCUCCCAGGCUCCGGGAGCGGACACCAUGUACGGUUUUGUGAACCAUGCCCUGGAGCUGCUGGUGAUCCGCAAUUACGGUCCCGAGGUGUGGGAAGACAUCAAAAAAGAGGCGCAGCUGGAUGAAGAAGGCCAGUUUCUUGUGAGAAUAAUCUACGAUGAUUCCAAAACCUAUGACUUGGUGGCUGCUGCGAGCAAAGUCCUCAGUAGGUUGAAAACAGCCUUCCUUCUCUGUGUUAGCCACACAUCGGUCCAUAAAGGAAUGUGUGCUCCAAGACCGCAGUGUAGCAUUUUACAAGGUUUCCAUCGUAGAGCCUGAUGGGUUGAUAUACUUGUAUGAUGCCAGGCUGGGGCUAUGCUGAGUUCUACCUUUUCUGUUUUCGUAAACAGAAAAUCAAAAGUGGAAAUCUCCUGCCCCCUAUCUUGUACGUGGUCUUGUAUGGAGAAAACAAAACAAAACAAAACAAACAAACAAAAAAACCGAACAACUAUCAAUACUUCACUCCAAAAACUUCAGUUACAGCACCAAUCAUAGAGUGAGCAUUCAAAUGUAAUGUGUGUGCAAGGAACACUAUACUUCAGAUGUGUGUUAUAGUCAUAAGCUGUGUG
rnacentral:lncRNA from 1 species